AUAAUCAAUAUAUAUUACACCAAAUUUCAAGUUCGCUUGAUACACCAAAAUGAUUACCGUCUUCCUUGGAAGACGGUAUAAAGAGUUGAAAUAAUUCACAGUCUCUGGGUUAUAAACUUCCUUUCCUUUGUGAUUGGUAGAAAAUACAUGAUGUGAAAAUUUACAUUUAUUUCAUUGGUGUGAAAUACUGUUCGGCGCAAGGGAGAUAAUUUUCUGAUGACCUUUUUCAUGUACGACUUAACAAAUUUCGUAGAUUUCAAAUCUUAAAUAGAGAGAAAACGAAAAAGCAAUACAAAUUGCUAUGAAUGAAAUUCAGCCUUUGGUUUUCAGGUCCAACUAGUGAAAGUAACAUUCUAUAAUAUCUAUUGAAAUUAUCUGGUUUUCUUUUAGCAUUGUUUAUUCAAAUAUUUAUGCAAAAUAAAAAAAAUCAAUGCAGUAUGCCUAAUAUCGGUAAUGUUAUUUGCACCUUAGAUAGAUAAAUGCAGUGGUAUAACUUUGAUUUAAUAAAAAUAAUACGAGUCUACGACCCUAUCCUAGGAUCUCUUUUACCCUAUAGUCGAUCUCAACUUACAAGCUCGGGUAAGCAGUUCUCAAUUUUAGACACGCAGGCUUAAACGACACAUGACUGACAUAAAAUGUUCCACUCGCCAUGCUAUGUAGAGGAAGGUGACAUUUAUAUAAAAAGAAUGAAACUGUCUUUGAUAACUAAUUGCUGUUUAGGGUUUGUUCUAAAGACGGUAAGCUUUUAAAAAAAAGCUAAACUUGUUGUGCAAGACGUAAUCAUGUCCUUUAAACAGAACUAUUUAUGUAUGAACGUAUUACAAACUCCUACUUAAGCAACUAAGAAGCAAAAUUUAGAAUAUUUGUUGGUUAAAAUGCACAUUUACAAAACGUUCUCAAGGGUUGAUCUUUAAAUGAAUUCUUGAGAUUGUGUGUGUGUGUGUGUGUGUGUGUGUGUGUGUGUGUGUGUGUGUGUGUGUGUGUGUGUGUGUGUGUGUGUGUGUGUGUGUGUGUUUAUUUUCAAUAUAAUUUAUUUGAAAAUGUAUCCUGAUAUAAGAAGACGUUUUUAAAUGUUGAAAUAGGUUUAAAAAUUCAUAAAUCGUAUAAAAAUACAAUACCAAAUCGAAUUGUGCUUUGGAUCUUCUAAUAUGAUAGAACUCUUUUAAUGUAUUUACAUAUAAAAGAAAACUACGUA
rnacentral:misc_RNA from 1 species